rnacentral:rRNA from 1 species
CCUACGGGAGGCAGCAGUGAGGAAUAUUGGGCAAUGGACGCAAGUCUGAACCAGCCAUGCCGCGUGCAGGAAGACGGCUCUAUGAGUUGUAAACUGCUUUUGUACGAGGGUAAACGCAGAUACGCGUAUCUGACUGAAAGUAUCGUACGAAUAAGGCUCGGCCAACUCCGUGCCAGCAGCCGCGGUAAUACGGAGGAUUCAAGCGUUAUCCGGAUUUAGUGGGUUUAAAGGGUGCGUAGGCGGUCUGAUAAGUUAGUGGUGAAAUCCCGUGGCUCAACUUCGGAAUUUCCUCUGAUACUGUUCGGCUAGAGAGUAGUUGCGGUAGGCGGAAUGUAUGGUGUAGCGGUGAAAUGCUUAGAGAUCAGACAGAACACCGAUUGCGAAGGCAGCUUACCAGGCUACUUCUGACGUUGAGGCACGAAAGCGUGGGGAGCAAACAGGAUUAGAUACCCUGGUAGUC